GAACGAGCUCCUCUUACCUGUGAGCACAUAAUCGUAGCGGUUGACCUUGUUCAGCUUCAGUCCUUCGUAGAGCUCGUGCAGCUCAUCUGAAUUCAACACCUGGCCCUUCCAGUGGGCAUAGCCUGCAAAGCAAACACCAGGGCAUCUCUCAAGGGAUGGAUCUUCUCUUUCAGAUCACACAGCACAGCUUCAGUGCUGAGGAUCCUGGAGGAGGAGAUGAGUAGCAGAAAGACACUACAAACAGAUAAAUAAUAUCCAUAUACUCCAUAUAUCCUUGAAUGAUCUCUAAGAAUUGCAAGCAAAUAUGCUCAGCUGAGAAGCAGAUAGAAGGUGGAAGUGACUUGGGAUAAACUCAACUGAUUUCAGAAAACAGUGGACCAAGGUCCAUGGCAGCCAGUUCCAAGGAAAAUAAAAAGUAUCUCCCUUAACAGAA